CGGCCAUUUUGAGAAUUUUUGGUCGGGGAAAAAAAAAGGAAAAAUUCUUUCCCUAUCAAUUUUUUCUAUUGACCAUUUUGUUUAUGUAUUUCCGUGAUUUUAAUCCCAUUACCGAUCACCGUAGUCGUUGAUUAAACAAUAAUCAAUUAUGACAGUGCCCGAGCGUUUGCGAAUAUCGCCGUCGUUCCGCCGAACCAGCCUCGUCCGAUUCUGAGGUAAGCCCGUGAUGAUACACUUUAAGGCUUGAUUACCCUGACAGUAUAGAGACGAUUUCGAUUAAAAUAUAGCGUUGACCGUGCAGUGGACGUUCGGCGCAGCACACUAAAAAUCAGCUGAACGUCGUUAGUUAAUGACAACUCGUUCGUUGGGAGCCCUGGAAGGUAAAAAAGCGAACGCAAUGGGCAACGCCGCGACGGCUAACAAGAAAGGCGACUCGGCUGAGAGUGUCAAAGAGUUCCUCGACCAGGCCAAGGAGGACUUCGAGGAGAAGUGGAAAAAGAACCCCACGAACACGGCAGCCCUUGAAGACUUUGACCGUAUCAAGACGUUGGGUACGGGCUCGUUUGGCCGUGUCAUGAUUGUACAACAUAAGGCUUCCAAGGAGUAUUAUGCCAUGAAAAUACUCGAUAAACAGAAAGUGGUGAAGUUGAAACAGGUAGAACACACGUUGAAUGAAAAGAGAAUUUUACAAGCAAUCAGUUUCCCGUUCCUCGUCAGUUUAAAAUACCACUUCAAGGACAAUUCCAAUUUAUAUAUGGUGCUUGAAUAUGUGCCGGGAGGUGAAAUGUUCUCUCACCUGCGAAAGGUUGGCCGAUUCAGCGAGCCACAUUCGCGUUUUUACGCGGCUCAAAUAGUGCUAGCAUUCGAGUACCUACACUAUCUUGACCUAAUCUACAGAGAUCUCAAGCCAGAAAACUUGCUGAUCGAUUCGCAGGGCUAUUUGAAAGUGACUGACUUUGGUUUUGCGAAACGUGUCAAAGGGCGAACAUGGACCCUGUGUGGUACGCCCGAGUAUUUGGCGCCUGAAAUUAUAUUAAGCAAGGGAUAUAAUAAAGCUGUCGACUGGUGGGCUCUUGGAGUUCUAGUUUACGAGAUGGCUGCUGGUUAUCCACCGUUCUUUGCCGACCAACCUAUACAGAUAUACGAGAAAAUUGUCUCGGGCAAAGUACGUUUCCCAUCACAUUUUGGUUCUGACCUAAAAGACCUACUGAGGAACUUGCUACAAGUGGAUCUUACUAAACGAUUUGGCAACCUGAAGAACGGUGUCAACGAUAUCAAAGGACACAAGUGGUUUGCAUCAACAGAUUGGAUUGCUGUGUUCCAAAAGAAAAUUGAAGCUCCAUUCAUUCCUAGGUGCAAAGGACCGGGAGACACAAGCAAUUUUGACGAAUACGAGGAAGAAGCAUUGAGAAUCUCUUCGACGGAAAAAUGCGCCAAAGAGUUUGCUGAGUUUUAAGGUCAAUGUUGUGGAACUAGGUUGUUAAACUAUAUGUGUUCAAUUGGACCGAGUUCAAUCUAAACUUAACUAGAAUCCCAGCGAGGCAAGACACAAUUGUAAGUAUCAAAAACUCCGGUUCGGCAAAGCUAACUAAAUAGCAUUAAUAACAAAAUGUACGCUUACGUUUGUGUUGAACCAAUGAAGGUACCUUUGCAUUUAUCGAAAAUAUUUUUCAUAAGUAGGUACUAACUAGAAUACUUACCAAGCGCGUCCAUCAAUCAAAAUCUAGUGUAGUGUUUUCUUCAGUAAUUAUUUAUAGUUAAUAAAACGAUUAUCAUUUAUCUUACACCCCCUAAUGGGUACCAUCGAUAACUUCCUAUUAGAUUUAUUAAUAGAGAUUUAAUGCAAUUUAAUGAUUUGCACCACAUUGUAUUAUUUCAUAUAAAAACGUAUGCUUAUACCUACUUAAACUUUAGAGUCUUAAAGCUAAGUUUUGUCAUAGGUACCUAUUUUGUAUAUUUAAAUGCACUUACAAAUUAAAUUAAAACGAUGACUCGUGUGUAUUACCUCAAUUUUAUUAACAUUGUACUAGUUAGUUUUUAACUAAACUUUUAAGUUAUUUUAGAAGUCAUAAAAUAUGACCUAAAGUUAUGAAUUUUACUUGUGUGCUUUUACCUUUAGGUAGGUACCUAUUAUAAUACUAUAAUAGGUAUUAUGUUUAUGUACUAAUGUACUAUAGCCUAUAGGUACCUACUGUUUUCGACCACUUCAUAUCUACCUACAUAACUACCUAGGCGUCCUAACUAUUAGUACUUUAUAAAAUAAAAAAUUCAUAAGGAUAAAUACUUUAAAUACAAGAGUUUAAGACUAAAAUCACAGUUAAUAGUUAGUGACUAGCGAGUGACACACCACAAAAUGUUGAUUCACUUCAUUUUUACAUUUUAAAUACUUUUAAGUUAGAUCUGAUAACUAAUUCACAAAUCGUUCAAAAAUUAAUUUUUGUAGUAUAUAACAAUUCUCAAAAAAAUAAAUUGUAGACAAAAAAUAUUUUUCCAAAUGUUGAUUUAGAUACAUUAACAUUUUCAAAAAAAAAAAUCUGAUUAUUCUGAUUACCUCUUAACAAUUUAGGUCCAUUAAAAAGGGUAGUUUUAAUUUGAAAAUAAUAAAAUUGUAUUGACACAUGACGUUCCUUAAAUUACAUUAAAAUCUAUAAGUGAUUGAAAUUAUGAUCUUUGGUUUUGAAGUAAACUAAAUAAUUUUAAAAAACUAUAAAUGUAAUACAAAAUAUGGGGUAACCACUAACCGUGCUUAGCGGUAAUUGUUAAAUCACUCUGUAUAUUAUUUUAACAACGGUGCUGGAGUGAUGCAAGUGGGGAGAUCACGAUUUCCUAGCUCAGCUGGAUCAGUGACUGGUUUUUGUAUUUUGAACUCUGCAUGCUUACAACCGGAUAAGAAAUUAUUUCGUCCUAUUUAACAGUGUAAUACUAGAGUAAUGGCACUGGAGUUCGCUCUUAAGCCUUCCCGUAUACGGGUCGUGUAGUUGUUAUUUUCGUAUCAAUACAAAAUAUUCAAUACAAUGUUGCCCAAUGGUAACAGUCGGUGUUAUCCACUACUGCUACAAGUAUUUUAUUUAAGAAAUUAUGGUUACCCUUGUAACAAUGGAUAAGGUGCAGAUAAAGAUGCUGGGAUGGUGCACACAAGUAUCACAACCAACAAACCACACGCCACCGAAGCUCCAACCAUCAUGUUUCCUGUGAACAUAC